rnacentral:lncRNA from 1 species
CAAUCUGUUCAUGUCUGUCAGUUUAUAUCUGUGUUUUCCUUUUGUUGCAUGAUUGUUGUUCUACGUUUCAUGUUAUGAACACUGAGAAAUUGCCCUGCGCCUCUUCGCUAGGAGCCUAGCACAGCUGGAGAAAGAAGCCCUGCCACGAGCUGAUUGUGGCUUCUAUGGAUGCCGAAGGAAUGUGGUAGCUGCCAGAGUGAGUGGUGAGACAUGCUGAUUACGGGACAAAGAAUGGUGCUGACUGUGAGCUUGCUGCAUGCCCUGACAGUGGUGACAGGGGAAAGUUUAUUGGGCCUAUGUUCCUGACCUACCACUGAUACAUCCAGCAGUGUGGUCCAGACCAGAGAUUCCCAUGCUUGGGUCUCCCUGGACAGAGGAGCCAACUUAUAAUAAGACUAAGACUUUCAAUGCAUUUGGUGAUGGGAUUUGUUUGCUCUGUGAAGAAUAGUAUGGGUGUAUUUCUGUGUUUCCUUAAAAUUGGAACCUUUUAUUAA